AUUGAACGCUGGCGGCAGGCCUAACACAUGCAAGUCGAACGGCAGCACAGAAGAGCUUGCUCUUUGGGUGGCGAGUGGCGGACGGGUGAGUAAUGUCUGGGAAACUGCCCGAUGGAGGGGGAUAACUACUGGAAACGGUAGCUAAUACCGCAUAACGUCGCAAGACCAAAGUGGGGGACCUUCGGGCCUCACACCAUCGGAUGUGCCCAAAUGGGAUUAGCGAGUAGGUGGGGUAAUGGCCCACCUAGGCGACGGUCCCUAGCUGGUCUGAGAGGAUGACCAGCCACACUGGAACUGAGACACGGUCCAGACUCCUACGGGAGGCAGCAGUGGGGAAUAUUGCACAAUGGGCGCAAGCCUGAUGCAGCCAUGCCGCGUGUAUGAAGAAGGCCUUCGGGUUGUAAAGUACUUUCAGCGGGGAGGAAGGCGGUGAGGUUAAUAACCUCGCCGAUUGACGUUACCCGCAGAAGAAGCACCGGCUAACUCCGUGCCAGCAGCCGCCGUAA
rnacentral:rRNA from 1 species